rnacentral:rRNA from 1 species
GAUGAACGCUGGCGGCGUGCCUAAUACAUGCAAGUCGAGCGAACAGACGAGGAGCUUGCUCCUCUGACGUUAGCGGCGGACGGGUGAGUAACACGUGGAUAACCUACCUAUAAGACUGGGAUAACUUCGGGAAACCGGAGCUAAUACCGGAUAAUAUAUUGAACCGCAUGGCUCAAUAGUGAAAGACGGUUUUGCUGUAACUUAUAGAUGGAUCCGCGCCGCAUUAGCUUGUUGGUAAGGAAACGGCUUACCAAGUCAACGAUGCGUAGCCGCCCUGAGAGGGAGGUCGGCCACACUGGAACGGGGACACGGUCCAUACUCCUACGGGAGGCAGCGGUAGGGAAUCGUCCGCGAUGAGCGGAAGCCUGACGGAGCAACGCCGCGGGAGUGAUGAAGGUCUUCGGAUCGUAAAACUCUGUUAUUAGGGAGGAACAAAUGUGUAAGUAACUAUGCACGUCUUGACGGUACCUAAUCAGAAAGCCACGGCUAACUACGUG